GGGGAAUUUUCCGCAAUGGGCGAAAGCCUGACGGAGCAACGCCGCGUGAGGGAGGAAGGCCUGUGGGUUGUAAACCUCUUUUACCCAAGAAGAACACAAUGACAGUAUUGGGUGAAUCAGCCUCGGCUAACUCCGUGCCAGCAGCCGCGGUAAGACGGAGGAGGCAAGCGUUAUCCGGAAUUAUUGGGCGUAAAGCGUCCGCAGGUGGCUUCACCAGUCUGCUGUCAAAACCCAGGGCUCAACCCUGGAUCGGCGGUGGAAACUGUGAGGCUAGAGUGCGGUAGGGGCAGAGGGAAUUCCAGGUGUAGCGGUGAAAUGCGUAGAUAUCUGGAAGAACACCCGUGGCGAAAGCGCUCUGCUGGGCCUGCACUGACACUCAUGGACGAAAGCUAGGGGAGCGAAUGGGAUUAGAUACCCCAG
rnacentral:rRNA from 1 species